rnacentral:rRNA from 1 species
GUAGGGCCAAACCCUGUGCCGAAGCUAACGCAUUAAGUUCUCCGCCUGGGGAGUACGUUCGCAAGAAUGAAACUUAAAGGAAUUGACGGGGGCCCGCACAAGCAGUGGAGCAUGUGGUUUAAUUCGAAGCUACGCGAAGAACCUUACCAGGGCUUGACAUAGUGUCUAAGACUCUAGAGAUAGAGGGAUAAUAGGUACAUACAGGUGGUGCAUGGUUGUCGUCAGCUCGUGUCGUGAGAUGUUAGGUUAAGUCCUCCAACGAGCGCAACCCUUGUCCUUAGUUGCCAGCAUUUAGUUGGGGACUCUAGGGAGACCGCCGGCGUAAGCCGGAGGAAGGUGGGGAUGACGUCAAAUCAUCAUGCUCUUUAUGUCCUGGGCGACACACGUGCUACAAUGGUCGGUACAAUGAGAUGCAAAAUCGCGAGGUAGAGCAAAUCUAUAAAGCCGAUCUCAGUUCGGAUUGGGGUCUGCAACUCGACUCCAUGAAGUCGGAAUUGCUAGAAUCGCAAUCAGCCUGUG